CAACACACUCUUCAUCAUCACACAAGACUAAACUACAACUAUGAACAACAUCUACAUCUUCAUCUGGACUCUGACUCUCUGCAUUCAGGAGAUCUGGGGACAAGUGACAGUGACUCAGAAUCCAGCAAUAAAACCCGUCAAACAAGGAGAAACUGUUACAAUCAGCUGUAAAACCAGUCAGCCGCUUUCUGCCUGUAGUAACUGUGUGUCCUGGUAUCAGCAGAAACCUGGAGAAGCUCCUAAACUCCUGAUUUAUUACAUAAUAAGCCGUUAUACUGGAACUCCAUCUAGAUUCAGUGGCAGUGGAUCUGGCAGUGAUUUUACUCUGACCAUCAGUGGAGUCCAGACUGAAGAUACAGGAUAUUAUUACUGUCAGAGUUAUCACUAUAUCAACAGUAAAAAGGUGUUCACACAGUGA